CACAAAAACCUCUAGUAUAGGCUGCAUAUAAACCAGUGGCUUCCAUGGGUAUACACAGAUUGAUUUUUGUUAAUUUACAGGGAUCACUGCACUUCCCUGGCAUGGAGCUGUCUGAAGAGUUUAAAUGCUGAUGGGUGUGGCAUUAUUUCUGGUAUUUGCUUAUUAUCCAGAGUGCAUUUAUUAAAUAUCUAUCAUGAAAUCCACACUCUAUAAAUCUAUUUCAAAUAUGUUGAUAUUUAAUGGUACUUACACACUUACAAACUGAGCUAAUCCUCCUAACUUCUCUCUGGAAAAGCUAUGCCUUUGACAUUGCCUUUUUUCACACAUAUGGAAAUGCAUAAUAUGCUUCUGUAUGGUACUUCAGAAUUUAUAAAAGGCUUUUCAGGUAAGAUUUACAUAACAUCAUGUGAUAGUGGCCAAAGGACACAGUCUUCUCAUUACAGAGGGGAGAGGUAUGAAGUGACUCUCCGAACAGUUACUCAGAUUCUGUCAGUCAGGUUCAGAAUCUUAUCAGGUAUCAGAUACACAUCUAGAUUUUUUUCCCUACUGUCUCUUUGUCAGAAUUCCCAGCCUAUGAGUGAACUUCAGUCUGAAUGAAUGCUAAUAUUCAAGGUUCUAAGUGAAAAAAUUACCGAGGUUUGUAUUGGCCUGAAGGAUGACCACCUGAAUACACACUGUGAAGUUCUGGACGUAGUUUCCAAACUUCAGUCACUUUGCAGCUGAGGGACUCUGUCCUCAUCAAUCACCAGAAAGCCUGCAGGAGUAGAGAGAAGCUGUGUUUGAAGAAUUCACAAAUACAGUGUAUUGAAGCCAACCACUACCACCCCCACCACACCCCUAAUUCAGGGUUCUGGCAAAUCCCAAACCAGGAGUUUGGGACCAGGUGUGGUUCAGGAGGUGACCUCGACUCCUUACUCUGAACAGCUCCAAAGUGCAUGGUGCACCCAGCGGGAGCUCAGUGCCUCAACCUCCCACCCUUCUGCCCUUGCCACCAGGAUGCCCGGCUCCCAGAGCCUCCAGGAGGCCUGCAGCAGACCCGCAGGUGCAGGUGCCCUGGGCUGUGUGUCCAGAGCUAACCCAAAAUACAGUCCCAGCUCAAGUGUCACCUCCCCACAAAGUCACUGUCUCCUACUCCUUACCGGAAGGCUGCAGGCCAGUAUCCGGCACCAGGAGUCACGGCAUUUGGGGUUUACCUGCUCUCCCAUGAAGGAAGAUGCCCCUGUGGGAACCCUGCUGCACCUGCAGCUAGGGCUGGGGGAAGAAGGGCUGAGCCAGCUUCCACCCUAGGACUGCAGCCUGGGAAAGUCCAGGGCCCCAGCGCCCUUGCCAGGCAUGGGAUCUCCCUAAGUGUGCUCUGAGCCAGGGCCUCAGGCAUCAGCAGCACCCUUGCUUCCAGAACCUGCUGCAGGGCAGCUCAGGUUCGGCCCGGGGGGGGGCCUCUGGCCAAUCCUCGCUGCCCUGGGGCAGGACCAGCACUGCCAGAACAUGCCACACUGGGCUGGCUAUAAAGGUCAUGGUCAUUGGUGGGCAGCUGGUAGUUGCGGUGUGUGUGGGUGACGUGGGUGAUGUUAAGUUCUUGGCUGUUCCGUACCUUGGGGCUAGAAUGCAGGCAGUGGCCCAAGAGUCAGGAGGGACAGGAGAAGAAGAGACAGACCUGGUGAGUGUGACCAGCCACCUCUCCCAACAGCCCUGCUGGCUGAGGCUUGCAGCACGUGCUGCACUUGGGGAAGCAAUGAAGGCCGAGUCUCAGCAGGAAAACCAAGUGCAAGGUGCUAAUUUGCUCACUGACGCAGCAUCUAUGUGGUCUGCAUUGGCAGACAGUUGGAAGGGCUUGUUAGGAGGGCGCUUGAGGCGCACUGAGCCCUCCUGCAGCUGCCUGCUCUAGGCAUCCAGGGCAGCAGAGUCCUGCAGGGUCCCUAGAGAUCCUGGCCAUGCUUUGCCUUCCAUCAUUCACCCUCCUGCACUGCUGCUGGGGGCAGUGCUUCUGUGGUUGUUAUCUCAUUUGAAUCCAUGGUCUUUUUCUCACGAUGGGCUGAUCUCACACAGUGACAAUCAUGGAACAAAUCACUGUUCUGUGGCAUCUGCCUCCCAGGAGCAUUGCAGGUGGACAGGGGGACAUGGGUGACCGGUGGCACCUCCUGUGCAUGGUCUCUGGCCCAUCCAGGGCCAAAGGUGGAAAGAGAAGCAGAGGAGCCAGCUCAAGGCAGUCCCGCUGUGGGUUCCAUCAGGUGCAAAAUGUCUCCCGAUUGCGGUUAACCUUGCAGCGAAACUGUCUCCUUGUGUGGGCCAGAGACAGCAUCCACUUUAUUAGCUGUGCUGUGUAUUGAUAAUUAAAAUUUGGGAAGUCCUAUCUUUAGUCCUCACAGCAUAGUUACAUUCAGAGGAACUGAUGAAACUCCUCAGUACUUUGGGGCUGAGUGUAAUAUUAGGUGGGUAAGCCUGUUGUUGGAUUUUGGUUUAUAGGUAUUGGGCAACUUUAUUUGGUAAAAAAGCAUUCAGGCUAGGUAGUGUAUUCAAGGAUGACCACUUAGUGCAUUGUCUUUUUUUUUUAAGAUUAAGAGAAUUGAAGACUGGGUUGAGCUACCUAUGGCAAAACUCCACCAUUCCUGGGAAGGCCACAAUUGGCAAGAAAAGCAGGUAGCAAGCUUUCAUCAAGUAAGUUGAGAUUCCUGUGUUUGCAAUCUGGAGAGCUCACUGAAGAGCUGGGGUGGGAACUGCUCUGAGAACAACUCAUUAGAGAACUGCUCUUGCAGACCUUCCCUGAAGGAAGCACUGUUGUGGUCAGAAGCAUUCCAGGAGCUGCUGGCCAGCAAUUGUGAAUUAGACUUGAAUUGAAUCCAUUGCAAGUAUCACAAGAGUGCAGAAAGGCUGUGUCCUCAAAUGAGCAGCUCACCACGGAGAAUUCGACUUAACCUAGAAGGUCUGUUUAGCUCUGUUUAUUUCUCAGCAUAUUCACACCAGGUGGGGAAAAUAAAUCAGCCUUCAGCUCUGCAAUGGCAGUGCUCUUGGUUGAGGCUGAGGAUGCUUUUCAUUGCAUGCAGUGUUUGCAAGAGACUUAGUUCCCUGAGGAUUUAUGCCUCUCCUGUAAAUACAUUUUUGGCACUAAAACAAACUGAAGUAUUUCUGUUUUAGUAGUAUGGAACCAACUGAAGUAUUUUACCUACCGGCAUCUUUGUCUUUAAAGAGCUAAAUCCACAGGAUUACAGGAUGGAGUAAAAACUAGAGAAUAGCUAAUCCUAGUACUAGAAAAGCACAAGGGAUUAUAUGAUCAUUAGCUUCCUCAUAUUCCUCAUAUUUCUUUUUAUUUUUCUACCUUCUCUUCCCUACCUACACAUGGUCUUGGUGUAUUGGAAGCUUUUCUAAAAACUGAAUUCUGUGAAGGAAAUAUAGGCUACUGGCUGGCUUGUGAAAACUUCCAAAAAUAUCCACCCACCCCAGAAGCCAAUUUGGGAAGUGAACCAAGAAAAAUAUAUACACUCUUCUUAGAAAAAGGCCCAAAAGAGAAUACAAUAUUCGGGGAGGAAGAAGGAAAACCAACUCAGACCCAGAAAACAUUCAGAAAAUUGCCGCUCAAGAAACCAAAAAUCGGCUGAGGCACCAAAAAACAAUGACAGCAAGCCAGAAUUGGAGCAAGCCAACAGCUGUGCCCUGAUUGAAAAAGACCAUUCCUCACAUGCCCUGAACUCCAUAUUCCAGCCUAAAUACCAAAGCUCACAUCAGGAAAUUCAUUACAAACCAUGAUAAAUAAGAAAAAUGUGAAAAAAGCCAAAGAAAUCCAAGAGUCCUUAGUGAUAUUGGGUGUGAUUUAGUCACAAGGAAACUGGCUGCUUCCGGAUUCAUCCACCCCUCCCAGCUAACUGGCUGUGGAAUUCUGAUUGAAUUCACCUGAAAAUCGCACUCACACUUGAUUUGGUGGGAAUUAAUAUCUGGUGCUGUUCUACGGGCUGGGGCUUUAAUCCACUGUGCAAUAGCACUGGCCCCUGUGAUGAUAGCAUUUGAAGACCUGGCUGUGUACUUUACCUGGGAGGAAUGGCAGAACAUGAACCAAGCUCAGAAAAUCCUGCACAGGGAUGUGAUGCUGGAGACCUACAGCAGCCUGUUCUCCCUGGGGCACUGCAUGACCAAACCUGACUUGAUCUUCAAGUUGGAGCAAGGAGCAGAGCCCUGGAUGGGGGAAGAAAGCCUUCCAGGUCAGUGUGUACAUAACGGGCAGGGAGGCCAAAGCAGAAGCAGUGCAACAGAUGUUGACUGGUGUUCUUUCCAUGAGUUUUUCCCAAGUCUUACUCCUGAAGACAGCUGCUCCUGUGAUUCAGACACAGACAUUCUACAGUAUCUAUGGAGAUCAGUAUCUCUGGUAAAGGCAAAGGAAAUGAAGUUUUCUGUGAAAAUCAACAACUGAUCAAAAACCUCCAGAAACUCAGAUUAUCACAAAGGAGUGUUUAUAGAAAGAAAUGAGAGGAGCUAACCAGGGCUGACGUCUUCACAAUGAGUUAGAAAUCAAUUUUCAAUGAUUGAGCAGACUCUGGGUUGCAGAAACAAAUUGUUUCAACUGGUGAGAAUGUAUAGUCAAGGUGGUAUAUUGGGACCAUCUGUAACUAUUGUAGUUCUAAGAAGAUUAGGAUGUCAGGUUUCCUUAGAAAUAUGGGGAAACUGUAAGAGUGCAGAUAAAACAGAGAUUUUUAUUAUAAAAAUCCCACAAAUGCUGUUUGCCUGGGAAGAAAGAA